rnacentral:rRNA from 1 species
AGAGUUUGAUCCUGGCUCAGAGCGAACGCUGGCGGCAGGCCUAACACAUGCAAGUCGAACGGACUCUUCGGAGUUAGUGGCGGACGGGUGAGUAACACGUGGGAACGUGCCUUUAGGUUCGGAAUAAGCCUGGGAAACUGGGUCUAAUACCGGAUGUGCCCUUCGGGGGAAAGAUUUAUCGCCUUUAGAGCGGCCCGCGCCUGAUUAGCUAGUUGGUGGUGUAAUGGACCACCAAGGCGACGAUCAGUAGCUGGUCUGAGAGGAUGACCAGCCACAUUGGGACUGAGACACGGCCCAAACUCCUACGGGAGGCAGCAGUGGGGAAUCUUGCGCAAUGGGCGAAAGCCUGACGCAGCCAUGCCGCGUGUAUGAUGAAGGUCUUAGGAUUGUAAAAUACUUUCACCGGUGAAGAUAAUGACUGUAGCCGGAGAAGAAGCCCCGGCUAACUUCGUGCCAGCAGCCGCGGUAAUAC